GACGGGGGAUGCAAGCGUUAUCCGGAAUCACUGGGCGUAAAGCGUCUGUAGGUGGUGAUGCAAGUCACUGGUGCAAAACUCUGGCUCAACCGGAGGAAAGCCAGUGAAACUGCAUGACUAGAGUGUGGUAGAGGUAGAAGGAAUUCCCUGAGUAGCGGUGAAAUGCGUAGAUACAGGGAAGAACACCGGAGGCGAAAGCGUUCUACUGGAACACAACUGACACUGAGAGGCGAUAGCUAGGGGAGCGAAUGGG
rnacentral:rRNA from 1 species